GUGAUCUGACCAAUCAUAACGCCUGAUCUGCUUUUUUUUUUUUUUGUCCGACAAACAAUCCAGACAAGAGAGUAGAUUAACGUCGGUGGAUUUGAACUUGAAAAAAGCUGUUUGGACUCUCAUUCUGACGGCACCCAUUCAUUGCAGAGGAUCCGUUGGUGAGCAAAUGACGCAAUGCUACAUUUCUCUAAAUCUGAUGAAGAAACAAGCUCAUCUAAAUCUUGGAUGGCCUGAGGGACAGUUAGUUGACAGGAAGCAAAGUGGGAGGGCAAGCCAGGACUCGAACUCGGGACACCUGAAUAUGUCAGCACGCUGCAUGCCCACCAGGAGCAUAUUUGUA